rnacentral:lncRNA from 1 species
CUUCUUCUUCUUCUUCUUCUUCUUCUUCUUCUUCUUCUUCUUCUUCUUCUUCUUCUUCAUCUCUCAAUGAACCACCAUGAAAAUCAGAAUUAUGAGGGGGCUUUUUCUUCUCAACAUCCCCUUUUAAGUUAGAGAGUAACUUAGUAACUCCUAACUUGCCCAAAAUCUCUCGAUAAGAAACCCCAGAAAGAGGCUUUGUGAAGAUAUCUGCAAACUGUGCUUUACAAGGAACGAAAGAGGGAGUAAUUAGCCUUGAAAGAAAUUAUUGACACAUAAAAUGACAGCCAAUUUCAAUAUGUUUUGUGGGUUCAUGAAAGGAGGGAUUCCGGGCGACGUGAAUUACUCCCUUGCUAUCAAAAUGAAGGGGAAUUGGUGGAGUGACUGGUGCUGAUAGAUCCUCGAGAAUUCGUAACAACCAGGUAAACUCUGUAGUAACCCUUCGCAUAGAUCUGUAUUCUGCUUCGGCAGAGGACAAAGAAAUUGAGAUAUGCUUCUUUGAUUUCCAGGAAAUGGGAGCUCAUCCAAGAGUGAUAAAGAAACUACUGACGGACCUUCUCGAAUCCAUGUAGGAAGCCCAAUCAGCAUCAGAGAAAGCGAGCAAAGAGAAAGAAGCCUCAGCUGACAAUAGAAUUCGUUUGCUUGGAUCAGAAGUGAGAUAUUUUAAAACUCGCAAAGCAGCAGAGGCUUGUGACACACAUGGCUUCUGCAUGUAUUGACUGAGGGUGAGUACAAAAAAUGAAAGAUCUGGUCUAGUAUUUGUUAAAUAAUUCAGCUUGCUACCGAGAUACCGAAAUAAAGUCGGGUUUUUUAGAUAUUCUCCACCAUCAUCCUGAAGCUUGAGGGCAGGAUCCAAAGGAGAACUGACUCCAGGCAAAUGAGACACAUCAAAUUCCUGCCACAUGUCUGAGAUGAACUUCCUUUGACUCACAAUGAAUCCUGCUUGUUCUCUCAAAAUUUUCAUACCUUAAAGAUAGUGUAUACUUCCCAAGUUUUUGACUUUAAACUCAGUAUUUAGAAUAUCUUUGAUAUCCUGAAUUUCUGCUAAAUGAUCUCCUGUGAUUAAUAUGUCCUCGACAUAGACAGCUAAGAUAGACAUAAGACUGCGUUUAAAGAACAAAUAAUAGCCAUUCAUUGAUGAAGAGUAUCCUUUAAAACUUAGAGCUCCUGCUAGCCUAGCAUACCACUGCCUAGACGCUUGCAUUAAAAUAUAGAGUGACUUCUUCAAAAUACAAACAUGCUUAGGACUAGGAGGAUCCAAACCUAAUGGAAAUUUCAUAUAUAAAUCCUCUUGAAAAUUUCCAUGCAAGAAUGCAUUGUUCACAUCUAGAUGAUAUACAUUCCAAUCUUUCUUGGAUGCAACAGUGAGCAUAUACCUUAUGGUUGUCAUCUUCACCACUGGGGAAUAAGUCUCACUGUAAUCUAUUCCUUCUAUUUGAAUAUUCCCCUAACAAUCAACCUUGCCUUCAACCUCUCAAUUCUGCCAUUUGACAAGUGCUUCACCUUGUACACCCAUUUACAAGCUAAAGCUCUUUUCCCUUUAGGCAAUUCAGCCACAUCCCAUGUGUAAUUGUCUUAUAGAGCUUUAAUUUCUAUAGUUAUAGCUUCUACCCAUCCUGGAUGUUGGCAAGCCUGGCUGAAAGUAGAGGGUUCUGUUAGGGUAGAAAGGGAUUGCAUUAAAUGUUGGUUAUUGGGUGAGAGAGAUGAAAAAAAAUACUCAUUAGGUACACAUGGUUGAGCGAAACAGGAUGUGGCUAAAUCUAUUAACAUAAUGAUGUUGCAAACAAAGUCUUUCAGGUAGAUUGGUUGUGUAGAAACUCUUCCUAAUAUUCUCAAAGGUGUAGGUUCUUUAGGUGCUGAAGAGAGUAUACUAGUGUGGGAAGACUCUAGGCUAGGAGAGACUGCAGUUGAUGAUGGUAGAGAAACUGAAUGGUGAUGAGAAAAGUGAGGGGGACUUGAUGAUUUUGGAGAAAAGAUAUCUGCUGUAACAUACUAUGAAGAAAUACGAUGUGCUUUAUCUUGGAAUGUGGUUGAAUAGGUAGGUUCUGUGGUGAAAAUUAAAGUUGGAAAGAUGGGAUGAUGUGCUGUGUUUAUUUAUAUAAAGAGAAAGUGUGACUCAUGAAAUUCCACAUCCCUAGACACAAAUACUUUCCUUGUAGACAACUCCAAAAGUUUGUAACACUUUUGUUGAAUAGGGUAACCAAGUAAAACACAAGCUGUUGCCCUCUCAUCAAACUUCCCUCUAUACUGUUUCAAAGUAGAAGCAUAGCAUAGACAUCCCAAAAUUCCUGAAAUAGUCAUAUAUUUAGGUCUGUGAUGAAAAAGGACCUCAAAUGGUGUUUUCCCUUGAAGAACAGAAGGCAAUCUAUUAAUAAUGUGUGUGGCAGUCAGAAAGAUUCACCCCAAUAUGACAUAGGCAACCUGGAUUGAAACAUUAUACCCCUAGCAAUUUCUAAGAGAUGCCUAUGUUUCUUCUCAACAAUCCCAUUUUAUUGAGGUGUUGCUACACAAGACACAUGGGGUAUAAUUCCUUAUGAAAUAAGGAAAGCUGCUUCUUGUGACCCUUUCCCCAACUGUAGAGCAUUAUCUGAUCUUAUCCUCUUCACUUUUGUAUUGAACUGUCUUUCAACCAUGGAUAAGAAAGAUCUUAGCACAGGAAAUGCAUUGCUCUUAGAAGACAACAAAAAUAUCCGUGUUCCUAUACUAUGUGAGAAAAUAUCUGAAUCUAUUAGAGGUAUUGGACUUGUAGGGUACCCGUGUAUAUAGAUUUAAUGGUGCUCAUAGGGAAAGGCCUCCGUGUCUGUCUAGCCUUAGGACAAACAUCACAAAUAAAAUCAGAAUUUGAGUCACAAUGAAGAAAAUCUAAAUGUUUCAUUGCUGAAAAUGGGAGAUGUCCCAACCUUACAUGCCAAAGUUUAACACUAGAAACACCAUUAAUAUGAACAGGACUAGAAAAAGACAUAGACUCUAAAAUGGAAUUUCUUCCUUUUUGAAUUGAAAGUACAUUACUACUGAAUUACUAGGCUCCAAUAUAUAGAGUCCCUCUCUAAGUUCACUGAAAGUUUGCGAACUUUUCAUUGAAGGGCCCUGCAACACACACCUAAUAGAUGUGAAUAAGACAUCAUAUUUGAACUGGAUGCAAAACCUAUAUACUGACAGUAGAUUAUAUUUGCAAUCUGGAACAUGUAAGACAUUGUUUAAGACUAGACCUGGCAGAAUAGAAACACUUCGUAUAUGAGUAACAAUUACCUUGAAGGAAUUAGGUAAAUUGAUGUUCAAAGGAACAGGAAGUCGAGUUAGAAAUAAGAAAGAAUUGAGAUCAAAACACAUAUGCUCUGAAGCACUUGAAUCAAUGAUCCAGGUGUCAGAAUUUAGAGUAGUAAACACUGAACCUGAGUACUUUAGAAUAGUACCAGCAACUGCAUUAGCAUUAAUUCUUGAAUUUCCUGCUUGUGCCAAUUUUUCCUGCUUGUACAUAUUAACCAUUUCUACAAGCUGUUCCUUGUUAUGUUGUUGCCCAAAAUUGCUACUGCUUUCAGUAUUUUGUCUUGUCUGGUUUUCAUUAUCUUUAUGUGUCAGAACUGCAUUUGAUUUAAUUUGAUUUUGAUAAUUCUUUUGAUUGGUAAACUCAAAUCAUCUCGAAACAAUGAUUCUAUAGCAAUCCUUUGAGUGUGCCCUGUUUUUCCACAAUAAGUACAAGACACAUUUGAAUUAUACCUCUUCUUUUUCUUAAACUUCUCCUGUGGUUUGUUGAACUUUUGUCCUUAAUUAUUGUAUUUUUUCCCAUUGUUGUUGCUCUAUAUGUUUGAUUAUUUUUCUUCUAAAAAUUUCUCCCCUUCCCUGUUAACAUAAAGGCUGCAAAAUUAGCUAGAAGCUGAGCAUUAGGUUGUUUCACUUCUCCUGUUGCAAUAAAUGACAAUGAAUCUAAGUUAAAAUGUGCAUUUGCAUUCUCUUUGAUUUUCAUCUUUAAAGAGAAGAGAAUAUGCUACAUCUAUGCUAGUCAAGGGAUUCAUCAUGAGUAUGUUUUCUCUAGCUUGUUCAUAAAUAUCAUUCAAUCCCAUUAGGAAUUGAAUUAACCUCUGCUCUUCAAGUGAUUUUAUCAAUUUUGCUUUUCCAUCCACAAGUACACACACAACAACAUAUGACAACAUUUAAAGCAUCUAAUGAUCUCAUAAUUGUUUGAGUUUAGUGAAAUAUCCUGCAAUAUCACUAUUUCCUUGCACUAAUCCUACUGUUCCUUUUGCAGAUUAUAUAGCUUGGCUCCGUUUGAUUUUCCAAGCCUCUGCUCCAAGCUAUCCCAAAGCUCCUUUGCAGUUUUGGAUUAUAUCACACUGUUUGCGAUAUCCUUAGAAAGGGCAUUCAGAAUCUAGGAAAUUACCAUGUCAUUGACACAACUCCAUUGUUGAAGAUCUGGGGAAUUUAGAUCUCGAGAUUUGCAUGCUCCAUUGAUAAACCCAAGCUUUUUCUUAGAUGCUAAAGACAACAAAAUAGAUCUCCUUCACCGUAGAUAUCCUCUUCCAUCAAACAAAAUAUUGACUAGCGUUAUCCAGGAGAAUCAGAGCUGUUGAGAUAAUAUGGGUGAUUGAUAUCAUAGGUCACAGCUUAUGCAGUGCUACUGCCAUCUGCAAAUUUGCUUGUGUCAUCCAUUUUAGAUUAGUGAAGAUGAUGAGUUGAUUGUAGAGAAUAAUAUGAUGUAAAUAAUCUAGUUAUUUGGAUUGUUGGACUGAGCUAAUGCUUCGAUACGAUGAACGAAUUUGAAGAAUGAGA